GGGGGCUGACUUCAGGCCCCAGCCACAGUGCCAUGGCCCUUGGUAGGCAUGUCACUAAGGGUGGGGACUUCAGAGGACACUGGGUCACUCCUUGCGGACCGGAAGCCGGAUAACACCCAGUUAGCUGGAGCAGCAGAGGAGGAAAAUGGUGACCACCUCCUUGUAGUCAAGAGGAAUUUGUUGAACACACACAGCUUCUUUUGCAGGAAUGGCUUCAUUCUACCACCCUUUGCUGCCAUAUCAGGACGUCGGGAAGCAAAGAGACGUGUCGGCUUGAUCAGCACACAGGUCAUUCCUAGAGAGAUCAGCUCAGUCACCGAGCAGGCAGGAACAGGCACUCUGGAGGGGAGAGGCAGGCCCAGGAAGAUGAGUCAAGGCAGGGAUUGAAACUGCAGGAUGAGGGAGUCAGCGCCUGGGAACCCACAGGGCAGAGUUAGAUAAGAAGAAAUGCACGUGGAAUCUGCAGUUUAAAUGGAGCCUGGGGUUUGUAAAGAGGAGUCAGGCGUUCUUUACCUUGUCAGUUCCGACUGCUUUGUGCACAGCUGACUCAGAGACCAGGUGGGGCUGCCCUCCUAGGUGAAACCAGACUGAUUAGAAAGGCGGCUGGGGCCUCCAGAUCCUGCCGGCCACACCCUCCCAACAUUAAGGGUAUGCCUCAUCCGUGAAACCAACUCUCCUCCAUGAAGGAGAAGUGAAAUGUCCAUUUUAAAGAAAAUAGCUUCAUAGUUGAGGAGGCAUGAUUUUUGCAUGCAACAGAGGCAGUGU
rnacentral:lncRNA from 1 species